rnacentral:rRNA from 1 species
AGCAUAUCAAUAAGCGGAGGAAAAGAAACCAACAGGGAUUGCCCUAGUAACGGCGAGUGAAGCGGCAACAGCUCAAAUUUGAAAUCUGGCUUCGGCCCGAGUUGUAAUUUGUAGAGGAAACUUUUGGUGAGGCACCUUCUGAGUCCCUUGGAACAGGGCGCCAUAGAGGGUGAGAGCCCCGUAUAGUCGGAUGCCGAUCCAAUGUAAAGUUCCUUCGACGAGUCGAGUAGUUUGGGAAUGCUGCUCAAAAUGGGAGGUAAAUUUCUUCUAAAGCUAAAUAUAGGCCAGAGACCGAUAGCGCACAAGUAGAGUGAUCGAAAGAUGAAAAGCACUUUGAAAAGAGGGUUAAAUAGCACGUGAAAUUGUUGAAAGGGAAGCGUUUGUGACCAGACUUGCGCCGUUCCGAUCAUCCGGUGUUCUCACCGGUGCACUCGGGGCGGCUCAGGCCAGCAUCGGUUUUGGUGGGGGGAUAAAGGUCCAGGGAACGUAGCUCCUCCGGGAGUGUUAUAGCCCUGGGCGUAAUGCCCUCGCUGGGACCGAGGUUCGCGCAUCUGCAAGGAUGCUGGCGUAAUGGUCAUCAACGACCCGUCUUGAAACACGGACCAAGGAGUCAAGGUUUUGCGCGAGUGUUUGGGUGUAAAACCCGCACGCGUAAUGAAAGUGAACGUAGGUGAGAGCUUCGGCGCAUCAUCGACCGAUCCUGAUGUAUUCGGAUGGAUUUGAGUAAGAGCGUUAAGCCUUGGACCCGAAAGAUGGUGAACUAUGCUUGGAUAGGGUGAAGCCAGAGGAAACUCUGGUGGAGGCUCGCAGCGGUUCUGACGUGCAAAUCGAUCGUCAAAUCUGAGCAUGGGGGCGAAAGACUAAUCGAACCAUCUAGUAGCUGGUUACCGCCGA